AGUGAACGCUGGCGGUAGGCCUAACACAUGCAAGUCGAACGGCAGCACAGUAAGAGCUUGCUCUUACGGGUGGCGAGUGGCGGACGGGUGAGGAAUACAUCGGAAUCUACUUUUUCGUGGGGGAUAACGUAGGGAAACUUACGCUAAUACCGCAUACGACCUACGGGUGAAAGCAGGGGAUCUUCGGACCUUGCGCGAUUGAAUGAGCCGAUGUCGGAUUAGCUAGUUGGCGGGGUAAAGGCCCACCAAGGCGACGAUCCGUAGCUGGUCUGAGAGGAUGAUCAGCCACACUGGAACUGAGACACGGUCCAGACUCCUACGGGAGGCAGCAGUGGGGAAUAUUGGACAAUGGGCGCAAGCCUGAUCCAGCCAUACCGCGUGGGUGAAGAAGGCCUUCGGGUUGUAAAGCCCUUUUGUUGGGAAAGAAAAGCAGCAGGUUAAUACCCCGCUGUUCUGACGGUACCCAAAGAAUAAGCACCGGCUAACGUCGU
rnacentral:rRNA from 1 species